AGAAUUGCUCGUGUGAAUCACCAAGAUGGUUUUCCCAGGGCAAGUCUCCUCUAUCACACCCCAGAUGUGCUGACCCCUCCGAUUUCCCCCUAACUCGACUGUAUGAUUUGUAGUAAUGGGGGACUGCAUUCACGCUUUCCCCUG
rnacentral:snRNA from 1 species